rnacentral:rRNA from 1 species
CGAAGGGAGAAAUUCAUUCGCGUCUCGAAGCUGGCGUCGAACGAUCGAGUGACGAGAAGCGUUCGCGUUUUUUGCGCCGAUUGUUUGUCGAACUGGCUACGUACGCGUGCACUUUUCUCCUGGUAGGACGUCGCGAUCCGUUGGGUGUCUGUCUACGGCUCGCGGUGGUGUCCGUCUGUCGCCUCGGCGUCGGACGAACCCGCGAUGACCCGGCCGACUCGCUCGACGGUAUACGAACGGUCGGAGGCCGCUCUCAGAGCGUUCGACUCGUUGCAAGCGCGCCAGUCGCGUUGGAACGCGGACCUAGUGCCGCGCCCGACCGCUGGUGACUGUUGGCCACGAAGUUCUCGAACAGACCUCUAUACAACAAUUAAGACCGAUCUGCGACGCUAUAGGUUUGGGUACUUUCAGGACCCGUCUUGAAACACGGACCAAGGAGUCUAGCAUGUGCGCGAGUCAUUGGGAAUCGUUAAACCUAAAGGCGCAAUGAAAGUAAAUGUCUUCCUCGCGAGGACAUAGGGAAGACGAGCGGUUUGCCCUUAAAAGCGGCCGCUCAGCAUUCCCGGGGCGUCUCGUUCUCAUCGCGAGAAGAGGCGCACCAAGAGCGUACACGCUGGGACCCGAAAGAUGGUGAACUAU